CGGGCCUUUAAAAUUACUGAUUAGUAGCCAGGUAAAUUGAUGGUGUUGUCAAAAAAACAUUCGUAGCAGAAAUAACCAGAUAGAAUGAGAAGGUCUGAGUUCUGUGAGAAAUCUGACUUCAUUUAUUUCUUAGAGAAUUUAAGACAUAAAUGGACCUACAUUUGACUGAGAUCUUGCUGCAGAUUCACAAGAAGCAACUGCUCCUCGCUCACAGCCAGGGACACCAGCACAUGGACAGCCAGUAACAGUCCAACACAGCCUGGUACUGGACUCCUCCUGGGUCACUAACCAAGCCACCAGCCCUUUCUCCAUCAACUGCUGUGCUGCUCUUCUAGAAAACUACAUAUGGAGGUGGGCUGUAUUGAGGCAACAGGAUAGCAUGACGGACCUUCAGGUCUCGAGAGAGGUGUAAGCCAUGUGUGGAGGUAACAAGGUAACAAGAUACUCCACUCAACAGCUCUGGAAGAGAAUCUGAAACCUACAGCCAGCCUCUAAGACUGAGCACCAAGUAAUAUCACAUAGGGCAGAGAAACCUGCUGGCUGAGCCUGUCUGCCCACAGAAAUGUGUGAGAGAGAAUAAAAUAAUUGCUGUCUAAACC
rnacentral:lncRNA from 1 species